CGAAGGAUGCAAGCGUUAUCCAGAUUCAUGGGUUUAAAGGGUGCGUAGGCGGACUGAUAAGUCAGUGGUGAAAUCUCUCAGCUUAACUGAGAAACUGCCAUUGAUACUGUUAGUCUAGAGUAUAGAUGACGUUGGCGGAAUAUGACAUGUAGUGGUGAAAUACUUAGAUAUGUCAUAGAACACCGAUUGCGAAGGCAGCUAACGAAACUAUAACUGACGCUGAGGCACGAAAGUGCGGGGAUCAAACAGGAUUAGAUACCCUGGUAGUCCGCACCGUAAACGAUGAUUACUCGUUGUUGGCGAUAUGACAGUCAGCGACCAAGCGAAAGCGAUAAGUAAUCCACCUGGGGAGUACGCCGGCAACGGUG
rnacentral:rRNA from 1 species